rnacentral:SRP_RNA from 11 species
AGUGGACCAUGUGGCUCGAGCGAAGGCUUGGGUCACGUGGUUCCUAAAGCAGGGGGCACCGUGUAAGGCUUGCUUCACAGAGCUGCGAAAACCCCUCGCU